rnacentral:rRNA from 1 species
CGGUGGAAACGCCGUCUAAUACCGGAUACGACCCGCCACCUCAUGGUGGAGGGUGGAAAGUUUUAUCGGUCAGGGAUGGGCUCGCGGCCUAUCAGCUUGUUGGUGGGGUAAAGGCCUACCAAGGCGAUUACGGGUAGCCGGCCUGAGAGGGCGACCGGCCACACUGGGACUGAGACACGGCCCAGACUCCUGCGGGAGGCAGCAGUGGGGAAUAUUGCACAAUGGGCGAAAGCCUGAUGCAGCGACGCCGCGUGGGGGAUGAAGGCCUUCGGGUUGUAAACCUCUUUUACCACCAACGCAGGCUCCACGUUCUCGUGGGGUUGACGGUAGGUGGGGAAUAAGGACCGGCUAACUACGUGCCAGCAGCCGCGGUAAUACGUAGGGUCCGAGCGUUGUCCGGAAUUAUUGGGCGUAAAGAGCUCGUAGGCGGCAUGUCGCGUCUGCUGUGAAAGACCGGGGCUUAACUCCGGUUCUGCAGUGGAUACGGGCAUGCUAGAGGUAGGUAGGGGAAACUGGAAUUCCUGGUGUAGCGGUGAAAUGCGCAGAUAUCAGGAGGAACACCGGUGGCGAAGGCGGGUUUCUGGGCCUUACCUGACGCUGAGGAGCGAAAGCAUGGGGAGCGAACAGGAUUAGAUACCCUGGUAGUCCAUGCCGUAAACGUUGGGCGCUAGGUGUGGGGACUUUCCACGGUUUCCGCGCCGUAGCUAACGCAUUAAGCGCCCCGCCUGGGGAGUACGGCCGCAAGGCUAAAACUCAAAGGAAUUGACGGGGGCCCGCACAAGCGGCGGAGCAUGUUGCUUAAUUCGACGCAACGCGAAGAACCUUACCAAGGUUUGACAUCACCCGUGGACCUGUAGAGAUACAGGGUCAUUUAGUUGGUGGGUGACAGGUGGUGCAUGGCUGUCGUCAGCUCGUGUCGUGAGAUGUUGGGUUAAGUCCCGCAACGAGCGCAACCCUUGUUCCAUGUUGCCAGCACGUAAUGGUGGGGACUCAUGGGAGACUGCCGGGGUCAACUCGGAGGAAGGUGGGGACGACGUCAAGUCAUCAUGCCCCUUAUGUCUUGGGCUGCAAACAUGCUACAAUGGCCGGUACAAUGGGCGUGCGAUACCGUAAGGUGGAGCGAAUCCCUUAAAGCCGGUCUCAGUUCGGAUUGGGGUCUCCAACUCGACCCCAUGAA